CCUACGGGGGGCAGCAGUGAGGAAUAUUGGUCAAUGGACGAGAGUCUGAACCAGCCAAGUAGCGUGAAGGAUGACUGCCCUAUGGGUUGUAAACUUCUUUUAUAUGGGAAUAAAAUGUUCCACGUGUGGGAUUUUGUAUGUACCAUAUGAAUAAGGAUCGGCUAACUCCGUGCCAGCAGCCGCGGUAAGACGGAGGAUCCGAGCGUUAUCCGGAUUUAUUGGGUUUAAAGGGAGCGUAGGUGGAUUGUUAAGUCAGUUGUGAAAGUUUGCGGCUCAACCGUAAAAUUGCAGUUGAAACUGGCAGUCUUGAGUACAGUAGAGGUGGGCGGAAUUCGUGGUGUAGCGGUGAAAUGCUUAGAUAUCACGAAGAACUCCGAUUGCGAAGGCAGUUCACUGGACUGCAACUGACACUGAGGCUCGAAAGUGUGGGUAUCAAACAGGAUUAGAUACCCGGGUAGUC
rnacentral:rRNA from 1 species